CCGGGCCGGGCCGGGGCGGGGUCUCGGGCAGGGGCGGGGAGCUUACCGACCUCCCGCCCCCGCUGCGCGCGUUUCUGGCCCUGCCAGUGUCUCCGCCGGUUGAAAGCGCGUGUCUGCGUCGGGUUCUGUUGGAGUGCGUUCGGUGCGCCGUGGGUCCGCGCUGCUUCCACCCAACUUCCUGUUAGUUUCUCUCCUGUCACAAUGGCAUGAUCUCGGCUCACUGCGACCUCUGCUUCCUGGGUUCAAGGAUUCUCCUGCCUCAGCCUCCCAAGUAGCUGGGAUUACAGGAAUCUCACCAGUGACACGCGUUUGUGAAAAGCUGUGAAUAUUCAGUGCCACAGGGUUAAACCUCGGUACAGAAGCGAGACCCUGCUGGGCAGAGAAAGGGUGACCUGGAAGGUGUGUGAGGGCCCCGCCCAUGGGCCCCUGUGAUGGUCAUGGCCUCAAGAAUCACAGUCCAGGUGAGGCCCUGAAUAUCCACAGCCAGGACCAGUUCCCUCUGCUCUUGGGUGCCAAGGCCACCGUCAGCCAGGAGAGGCCUGCAGAAUCAGCCUGUGCACCUCUCUGACGAUAAGCAGAGAUGCUGGUUUAGAGACUUGCUACUCACGGGGAAGUCCUUGGGCCUCCUGUACUCACAUUACCUGGAACUUCUUGGAAAUUCAGAAUCUCAGGCCCCAACCCAGACGGACUGAAUCAAAAUCUUCAUUGUGGUAAGACCCUCGGUGACACACAGGCCUGGGAAGCACAGGUUAGCGUGUCACCUUGGGCAAAGCUCUCAGCAUUGUGAGCCUCUGUUUUCUACUCUGUAAAGGAGGCAUGAAUAUCUACAACAUCAGUUUGCCAUGAGUAUUGAAAAAUAAUGUCUUAGAAGCACAGGGCAGAGCCUGGCAUGUAGUUUGUGCUCAGUGCACAGCAGACAAGAAACCACAUGCACCAGACCUGGGCGGCCGUCGGCAGCCCACCCUGAGCAACCAUGGGUGGCCCUCUUGUCUCUCGGGACAAGAAAUGCUUCUUUAGAAAUGCUUCUUUCCUUUCUAAAAUGAAAGUUUUGGACAGUAUUUCCUUUCAUUUAAAAAUUUCAUCUGUGUAUUUGAUGGCCUCUGUUGUUUCUUUCCUGAAACUCCUGCUAACAUACUGGGAGCUGAAGAAGGGCUCCGUGAAGGCGAGUAGGGGUGCCUGUCCCUCCCAGGGAGGAGCUUCCCUCCUCUCACCUGCUGCACGAGCCCUAGUGCUUCACCAACUCCAGCCUCAGUGCCCUGACACUGGGGGAGGGAAAGGAAGCGCACGCACCAGCCGUUCCACCCACCGAAGUUGUUUGGUCCCAAUCUGCAAAAUCAGUUAAACGUCUUCCUGCCUGGCAGCAGAUCAAAGGGUGAGGGGUCUGGGACAGACAGAGACGGCUAGAGAAUGGAUGGUGAAGUGCUCAGAGGCCCUGUGGGCUAUCCCACACUCGGCGGAAGACAGCAACACCAUCAAAUCUCCACCCUUUGUUAUCCAUGACUUAAAGAAAAGUGAACAGGGAGGUGGACAACUGUGCAAAGACUGGCUGGAGUCAAAUCCUGGGCAUAGGUGAAGCAUCGAGAAUGCUUGUCACACGUUUGAAUGUGCAGGGGGACUCUGACUGGAAGCUCCUAGCAGAGGCUGAAGACACUGGUUAGGUCCUGGUGCGUGCCUUGGGAUGCAUCCCAGGCAACGGGCCCAGGAGCUUGAGGUCAUGUCCACCUGGCUCACCAGGGAGUCCUGCACCAUUCUUCAAACCUAACUGGAAGAGACACUGAUCCUUCCUCCCACCUAAGGGCUCCCAGAGCCACAGGUCUCCGACUCUCCUGCAACACCUCCUGCUGCCUGUUCCCACCGCCCAUGAUUCACUCAGUCACCAUCCUCAGCAGCACCCGACAGCCUCUGUGUGUCUGUGUCACUCACCAUUACCAGCCCCCUGGGUGCCCAAUGCAUGUAUGUUAGACAGAACAAAUGCACGGCGGCCUUCAGCAGCACCGACCGCGUCAACCCCUCUGUGCUCACACCAGGAGUGAUCAGCGCACACGCCCUCCCACAGGAUGGGAGAAGGUGAUAACAGCUGAGCUGGGUGUCCAGAAGCCAGCCCCACCCCACAGCCACUACUGAGAGGUUAUGAGAUCAUGGCCUUAUCCCGAGUAAUGCUGCUGCAGUGAACUGGGACUUUUUUCCUCUGAAUUCAAAGGUGGGGCAGUCUAGGCACCUGGAUGCACCAUCUGCUCUGUCCCGGCCUGGUGGCUGCUCACUGUGGGAUGCUGUGCAAUUAGACAGUUACUAUCUUUCCCUGGUUGACGGAUUAGAGUUUCCCUUUUCUGAGCAUCUUGUUUUGAAGUGAUCCGAAGUGUUUAGGGUUAAAGAGCGUGAUUUUCCCAAACUGUCCAAAGAAAUAGAAGCAGGUCUGCAAGAGGGGGGUGCCCAGAGCCUUGAGAUGGAAGCGAGAUGGGGUGAGACCUGGGGAGCUCUCCAGGCCGCCGGGAAGCUGCACGUCAUCCUCUGGACCUCUUUGCUGACUGUGUGCUGUCACCACAGCAGCCGCCUUCUCUCAUCUGUAAACAGGAUUUUACGUAAAUUUCCAUACACUUGGUUGUUGACAAUUAAGUAGAUUGUUUUUAAAGAUACUUGAAAUGAUAUCAGAAUUUCCUAAAUAUAUCAUUAAAACAGGAAACUUAGUUACCUAAAAAAAAAAAAAAAAAAAAA
rnacentral:lncRNA from 1 species